rnacentral:rRNA from 1 species
UACGGAGGGGGCUAGCGUUGUUCGGAAUUACUGGGCGUAAAGCGCGCGUAGGCGGGUUGGCAAGUUGAGGGUGAAAUCCCAGGGCUCAACCCUGGAACUGCCUCCAAAACUGCGAGUCUUGAGUUCGGAAGAGGUGAGUGGAAUUCCUAGUGUAGAGGUGAAAUUCGUAGAUAUUAGGAAGAACACCAGUGGCGAAGGCGACUCACUGGUCCGAUACUGACGCUGAGGUGCGAAAGCGUGGGGAGCAAACAGGAUUAGAUACCCUAGUAGUCC